CGCGUAGGUGGUUGCGUCAGUCGGAUGUGAAAUCCCCAGGCUUAACCUGGGGACUGCAUCCGAUACUGCGUGACUCGAGUGCAGCAGAGGGAAACGGAAUUCCUGGUGUAGAGGUGAAAUUCGUAGAUAUCAGGAGGAACACCGGUGGCGAAGGCGGUUUCCUGGGCUGACACUGACACUGAGGCGCGAAAGCGUGGGUAGCAAACAGGAUUAGAUACCCUGGUAGUCCACGCUGUAAACGGUGAGUGCUGGGUGUGGGAGGUGUAAUGCCUUCUGUGCCGAAGCUAACGCGUUAAGCACUCCGCCUGGGGAGUACGGCCGCAAGGUUGAA
rnacentral:rRNA from 1 species